CGUAGGGUGCGAGCGUUGUCCGGAUUCAUUGGGCGUAAAGAGCUCGUAGGCGGCUUGGCAAGUCGGGUGUGAAAACUUCAGGCUCAACCUGGAGAUGCCACUCGAUACUGCUAUGGCUAGAGUCCGGUAGGGGACCACGGAAUUCCUGGUGUAGCGGUGAAAUGCGCAGAUAUCAGGAGGAACACCGGUGGCGAAGGCGGUGGUCUGGGCCGGCACUGACGCUGAGGAGCGAAAGCGUGGGGAGCGAACAGG
rnacentral:rRNA from 1 species